GAACGAUGAGAUGUCUAAGGAUGAGUUGAUAGUGCUAGGUGGGGAAGGUGCUGCUGAAUCUGAUGGUGGAAGUGGAAAAGGAGGCAAGAAAAGGCGCAGGGGGUGAAGAAGAAGGUUAAGGUGCAAGGGGAAGGGGGCAGCAGGAACAAAUCCAAAGUUUGGGAUGUCUUUGAUAAGGUGACUAUGCCAGAUCCGAAUGAGAAUGGAAAAAUGUUAUCAAAGGCAAAGUGCAAAUACUGUAAGAAGAUGUAUGCUUACAUACAAGGGUGCACAUGAUGGAACCCGUAGAUAUGUGGAAGAAGACGAGGAGGAUGACAUCGAGAAUAUUUCAUUUCCAAAAAGCUUUGUAGAGAGUAACUAGUAAGAUGUGAUUUUCAUCUGUUAUUACAAUAGUGUUACGAAAUACUAAUAUUCUACUAUUCUGAAAUUUUUAUGUCUAUUCUCUAUUGCAUGUUUUCUAGGCUGGAGAGUGGAG